CCGAUCACCGAAGUCAAGCAUCAUUGGGCGCGGUCAGUACUUGGGUGGGUGACCACCUGGGAACACCGCGUGCCGUU